ACAGAGAGGACAUUUAAUUGAGCCCGUCAAAUUAAGUGCCAGCCGACGCGGUUAGACUUAAGGGCUGGUCUUUAUAAAUAAAAAGGCGUAAAGGAUGUGUAGGCCAAGAAAUUAUCCAAGAAGGUAAAUGGAAUUUUUCUGGAGCGGUAGAAUGUGAGGAUAGAAAAUAGAACUCCCAAGGUUAAAACUAUUUACCACAAGAUAAGCUGAAACAUGAAAGUGUGGGGAGCAAACAGGAUUAGAGACCCUGGUAGUCCACUCUGUGAACUUUGAAGAUGAUGCUUAGCAGACCCGAAAGGUAAAAUCUUCCGCCUGAGUAGUACGAUCGCAAGAUUAAAAUUCAAAAACUUUGGCUGUUCACUAUUUCGAUUAGAGGAGCGUGUAAUUUAAUUCGAUGGUCCGCGCGUUACCUUACCCUAGCUUGAAUCUGUGACCGGUAUUGCAUGGCCGUCGUAAGUCCGUGUGUUAAAUUAGAAGGGACACAACCCGGGCUCCCGCCCGGAGGAAGUCAGGUCUUAUGAUCCGAAUGCUGGGGGAUUUUAUGCGCUACAUUUUCUUAUAUAAUGAGAGACUUGAAGGGUAAGCCUCUAAAGUAAGAGUUCAGAAGGUCGCUGUAAAACGACUGGAAGUCGGAUUUAAUAGUAAUCGGAAAGUAGAGCGUUCCGGUGA
rnacentral:rRNA from 1 species